rnacentral:rRNA from 1 species
GACGAACGCUGGCGGCGUGCCUAAGACAUGCAAGUCGAACGGAUUGAUUGGGGAGCUUGCUUCCCAUGAUAUCAGUGGCGAACGGGUGAGUAACACGUGGAUAACCUGCCCCACAGUCCGGGAUAACACUCCGAAAGGAGUGCUAAUACGGGAUAGGCCUCAAGACCGCAUGGUUUUGAGGGGAAAGGCGAAAGCCGAUGAGGGAUGGGUCCGCGUCCCAUUAGCUAGUUGGUGAGGUAACGGCUCACCAAGGCGACGAUGGGUAGCCGGCCUGAGAGGGUGAACGGCCACACUGGGACUGAGAUACGGCCCAGACUCCUACGGGAGGCAG